ACAUAGCAAGAUAAAGGAAUAUUAAAUAAAAUGUAUUUUUGGCAACAGAGGCUCUUUAAGGCACCAACAGAGCAUUGCUUUAUGUUGCUUUUGUUUUUUCAGCUUAACAUUUGUAGGAAUCACAUGCAGAAAAAAGACAAACAAACAGUAAAUCAUAAUCAACCCCUUUAGCCACAAUAACAAGUGCUAACAGUUGCCACUAGUUCCUCUCAGAAAGCAGUACAUUCAAGAGAAUAGAUUGUGCUGAGGAGCAAUUGGUUUGCAAAGUGGGCUCAAUU